GGGGCCGACUGGAUUCGACCGGGCAUGUGAAGCUUGCCGUUGCGCGUCGAGGAGCAUGCUGGCCUCGUAAAAAGCAUGCACCAUAAUAAUUGCUCCUAGCAAUUACGCUCUCGCGGCCUAAUACUGGCCGUGCGAUCCACGCCCGACGCCCGAUGGGGCGUGGAUCGAAAAUAUCGGGCUCCGGUUGGUGUUGCCGCCCGCGGGACAUCAGCCAAGACCUAACCGGGGGCUGGACCAUCGCGGAGAGUGCCGAUUCCCGCUGUGAUGGUCGAGAUCAAACAAUCGGACACACGCCGUAGACGCGGCCUGCCGACUGCCACGGGACGGGGGUUCGAUUCCCCCCGGCUCCAUUA
rnacentral:tmRNA from 1 species